GAGAGAUUAGCUCAUCUGGAUAGAGCGUCAGCCUCCGGAGCUGAAGGUGGUGGGUUCGAGUCCCGCAUCUCUCACUA
rnacentral:tRNA from 1 species